rnacentral:rRNA from 1 species
AGAGUUUGAUCCUGGCUCAGGAUGAACGCUGGCGGUCUGCUUAACACAUGCAAGUCGAACGGAACUCUUCGGAGUUUAGUGGCGGACGGGUGAGUAACGCGUGAGAAUCUGCCUUCAGGUUGGGGACAACAGUUGGAAACGACUGCUAAUACCCAAUGUGCCGCGAGGUGAAAGCUUUAGUGCCUGAAGAUGAGCUCGCGUCUGAUUAGCUAGUUGGUGAGGUAAUGGCUUACCAAGGCGACGAUCAGUAGCUGGUCUGAGAGGAUGAUCAGCCACACUGGGACUGAGACACGGCCCAGACUCCUACGGGAGGCAGCAGUGGGGAAUUUUCCGCAAUGGGCGCAAGCCUGACGGAGCAAGACCGCGUGAGGGAGGAAGGCUCUUGGGUUGUAAACCUCUUUUCUCAGGGAAGAACAAAAUGACGGUACCUGAGGAAUAAGCAUCGGCUAACUCCGUGCCAGCAGCCGCGGUAAUACGGAGGAUGCAAGCGUUAUCCGGAAUGAUUGGGCGUAAAGCGUCCGCAGGUGGCUAUGUAAGUCUGCUGUUAAAGCGUCUAGCUCAACUAGAUAAGAGCAGUGGAAACUACAAGGCUAGAGUGCGUUCGGGGCAGAGGGAAUUCCUGGUGUAACGGUGAAAUGCGUAGGGAUCAGGAAGAACACCGGUGGCGAAGGCGCUCUGCUAGGCCGCAACUGACACUGAGGGACGAAAGCUAGGGGAGCGAAUGGGAUUAGAUACCCCAGUAGUC